rnacentral:lncRNA from 1 species
UAUGGAAUAUUCAUUUAUAGAAAAGAGUUAUCAUUACAGUUCAAGGAACAUAAAUGAUAUUCAAAUAAUUAAUUAGAAAUAUAGUGACCAUGGAUUUAAAAUUCAGCACCUUAAAGUAUCAAUUCACACUAACUUAAUUUGUCCAUUCAAUGAAAUCCCAAUAAAAAUAGAAACAACACAUGGGGAAGACAGUUGACCAACUGAAGAAAAACCUCAAAUGGAAAAUUUAAAAACAGCAAUAACAAAAAGUGUUGUUAAAAUUUUCAGUAAAAAAAUUCUAACAUUUUGCAAUGUCACCCUUCAGUAUUAUGGUGAGUGGGCCCAAGUAAUCAUUUUAAUCUAUUCUGCAUGAAGGUCUUAUGCUGCCAUUUUUAAGUAUAAAAUUUUAGUCUUCAUCAUUUACUCAAAUUCCCCAUCUCAGGCACCUGUAAUCAUCUGAAUCAUCAGAAUUCUGUCUUUUCCUAAUAACUUCAUGUUUCUGUUUCCAAAUUUUGUUUUUACAUUCUUAAGAUUUUUCUAAACUAUUUUCUUCCUUUCAUAUCUACUGAUAAUACUAGAAUUAGGUAAGGAGUCACAGAUCCUUACCUCUACUGCUAAAACAGUCAAAUCUUCUAUUUCAAGUCUCUAUUCUAGCUUCUUUUUUUCUUUCUUUUUUUUUUUUCAAUUUUUCCUUUACAUGUCCUGUAGGGAGAAUAAUUUAAAGCAAAACAUUUUACAUAUUUAGAUGGUCUUCCAUUACUUUUACCAUGGUAUACAAAAACUACUCUAGUUCAAUUAUUCUAAAACAUAAUUAUGCAUGGAAAUCAUUUGGUGAAUUUGCUACAUUAAUCUCACUUACUAGAUUCCAGGGAUUAAACCCAAAAGGUCUGAUUCAGUAGGAUUUAUAUUGGGUUAGAAAUAUACAUUUUACUUAGCACCCCACCUGGUGAUCUGGACACGUUCUUCCUAGAUAUUUCAAAGAUAUUUUAACCUUAUUAGCUCAAAACUAAUAUGGUUUGGCUGUGCCUCCACCCUAAGCUCAUCUUGAAUUAUAGUUGCCAUAAUACCCUCAUGUUGUAGGAGGGAAUUUGCGGGAGGUGAUUAGAUUAUAUGGGAAGUUACCCAUACUGUUUUCAUAAUAGUGAGUGAGUUCUCACCAGAUCUGAUGAUACUGUGAGAAUAUUUUUCCAUAAUCCACUCUACACUUCUUUCUGCAGCUGCCUUGUGAAGAAGUAUACAAGAAUUCUAAUUUUUCCCUUUCCUUACAAAC